rnacentral:rRNA from 1 species
GUUUGAUCCUGGCUCAGAGUGAACGCUGGCGGCAGGCCUAACACAUGCAAGUCGAGCGGCAGCGCAGCAGUAGCAAUACUGUGGGCGGCGAGCGGCGGACGGGUGAGGAACACAUCGGAAUCUACCCUGUUGUGGGGGACAACGUAGGGAAACUUACGCUAAUACCGCAUACGACCUUUGGGUGAAAGUGGGGGACUCGCAAGAGCCUCACGCGAUUGGAUGAGCCGAUGUCCGAUUAGCUAGUUGGCGGGGUAAUGGCCCACCAAGGCGACGAUCGGUAGCUGGUCUGAGAGGACGACCAGCCACACUGGAACUGAGACACGGUCCAGACUCCUACGGGAGGCAGCAGUGGGGAAUAUUGGACAAUGGGGGCAACCCUGAUCCAGCCAUGCCGCGUGGGUGAAGAAGGCCUUCGGGUUGUAAAGCCCUUUUGUACGGGAAGAAAAGCUUGGGGUUAAUAACCUUGAGUCAUGACGGUACCGUAAGAAUAAGCACCGGCUAACUUCGUGCCAGCAGCCGCGGUAAUACGAAGGGUGCAAGCGUUACUCGGAAUUACUGGGCGUAAAGCGUGCGUAGGCGGUGAGUUAAGUCUGAUGUGAAAUCCCCGGGCUCAACCUGGGAAUGGCAUUGGAUACUGGCUCGCUAGAGUACGGUAGAGGGUGGUGGAAUUCCCGGUGUAGCAGUGAAAUGCGUAGAGAUCGGGAGGAACAUCUGUGGCGAAGGCGGCCACCUGGACCAGUACUGACGCUGAGGCACGAAAGCGUGGGGAGCAAACAGGAUUAGAUACCCUGGUAGUCCACGCCCUAAACGAUGCGAACUGGAUGUUGGGCUC